AUUGAACGCUGGCGGCAUGCCUUACACAUGCAAGUCGAACGGCAGCACGGGGGCAACCCUGGUGGCGAGUGGCGAACGGGUGAGUAACAUAUCGGAACAUACCCUAGAGUGGGGGAUAACGUAGGGAAACUUACGCUAAUACCGCAUACGACCUACGGGUGAAAGCGGGGGAUCGCAAGACCUCGCGCGAUUAGAUGAGCCGAUGUCCGAUUAGCUAGUUGGCGGGGUAAUGGCCCACCAAGGCGACGAUCGGUAGCUGGUCUGAGAGGAUGAUCAGCCACACUGGAACUGAGACACGGUCCAGACUCCUACGGGAGGCAGCAGUGGGGAAUAUUGGACAAUGGGCGCAAGCCUGAUCCAGCCAUGCCGCGUGUGUGAAGAAGGCCUUCGGUUGUAAGACACUUAGUAGGGGUAGGGAAGGGACGUCGUACGUG
rnacentral:rRNA from 1 species